GACGAACGCUGGCGGCGUGCCUAAUACGUGCAAGCCGAACAAAGCUUUUUUAACUGGUGCUUGCACCGACUUAAACAACUGAGUGGCGAACGGGUGAGUAACACGUGGGUAACCUGCCCCAACGCGGGGGAUAACAUUUGGAAACAGAUGCUAAUACCGCAUAACCACAGAAACCACAUGGUUUCUGUGUCAAAGAUGGUUUCGGCUAUCACUUUGGGAUGGACCCGCGGCGUAUUAGCUAGUUGGUAAGGUAAUGGCUUACCAAGGCAAUGAUACGUAGCCGAACUGAGAGGCUGAUCGGCCACAUUGGGACUGAGACACGGCCCAGACUCCUACGGGAGGCAGCAGUAGGGAAUCUUCCACAAUGGACGAAAGUCUGAUGGAGCAACGCCGCGUGAGUGAAGAAGGUUUUCGGAUCGUAAAACUCUGUUGUCAGAGAAGAACGUGUGCGAGAGUAACUGUUCGUGCAGUGACGGUAUCUGGCCAGAAAGCCACGGCUAACUACGUGCCAGCAGCCGCCGUAA
rnacentral:rRNA from 1 species